rnacentral:sRNA from 1 species
UGACCUUUACUGAGCACUUUUGUCAGGAC